rnacentral:rRNA from 1 species
AUUGAACGCCGGCGGCAGGCUUAACACAUGCAAGUCGAGCGGGGUGAUGGUGCUUGCACUAUCACUUAGCGGCGGACGGGUGAGUAAUGCUUAGGAAUCUGCCUAUUAGUGGGGGACAACAUCUCGAAAGGGAUGCUAAUACCGCAUACGUCCUACGGGAGAAAGCAGGGGAUCACUUGUGACCUUGCGCUAAUAGAUGAGCCUAAGUCGGAUUAGCUAGUUGGUGGGGUAAAGGCCUACCAAGGCGACGAUCUGUAGCGGGUCUGAGAGGAUGAGCCGCCAGACUGGGACUGAGACACGGCCCAGACUCCUACGGGAGGCAGCAGUGGGGAAUAUUGGACAAUGGGGGGAACCCUGAUCCAGCCAUGCCGCGUGUGUGAAGAAGGCCUUAUGGCUGUAAAGCACUUUAAGCGAGGAGGAGGCUCUUUUGGUUAAUACCCAAGAUGAGUGGACGUUACUCGCAGAGUAAGCACCGGCUAACUCUGUGCCAGCAGCCGCCGUAA